rnacentral:rRNA from 1 species
GUGGGGAAUAUUGCGCAAUGGGGGAAACCCUGACGCAGCGACGCCGCGUGGGUGAUGAAGGCCUUCGGGUCGUAAAGCCCUGUCGUAGGGGAAGAACCGGUGGGCGGCUAAUACCCGUUCGCCUUGACGGUACCCUACAAGAAAGCACCGGCUAACUCCGUGCCAGCAGCCGCGGUAAUACGGAGGGUGCGAGCGUUGUUCGGAAUUACUGGGCGUAAAGCGCGUGCAGGCGGCCGACUAAGUCCGGUGUGAAAGCCCGGGGCUCACCCCCGGAAGUGCGCUGGAAACUGGUCGGCUAGAGUACGGGAGAGGGAAGUGGAAUUCCUGGUGUAGCGGUGAAAUGCGUAGAUAUCAGGAGGAACACCAGCGGCGAAGGCGGCUUCCUGGACCGAUACUGACGCUGAGACGCGAAAGCGUGGGGAGCAAACAGGAUUAGAAACCCCGGUAGUCC